rnacentral:rRNA from 1 species
UGAGGAAUAUUGGUCAAUGGCCGAGAGGCUGAACCAGCCAAGUCGCGUGAGGGAAGAAUGUCCUAUGGAUUGUAAACCUCUUUUGUCAGGGAGCAAAGUCACCCACGUGUGGGUGUUGGAGAGUACCUGAAGAAAAAGCAUCGGCUAACUCCGUCGCC